rnacentral:piRNA from 1 species
UGUGGCCACUGACAUUGAGACUGGCUA